CCCCGGUUAUUAAGAGGUCCAGCCUGCCCAGUGAAUUAUUCAACGGCCGCGGUACCCUGACCGUGCAAAGGUAGCAUAAUAACUUGUCCCUUAAAUAGGGACUAGUAUCAACGGCACCACGAGGGUUGCACUGUCUCCCCCCUCCUUCAGUGAAACUGACCUCCCUGUGAAAAGGCAGGGAUAUAAUUAUAAGACGAGAAGACCCCAUGGAGCUUCAAACUCAAUAUGCACCCCUAAACAACUAUCCCUUAUAACCUCGGACCCUGUUUACUAUUUUUAGGUUGGGGCAACCACGGGGUAAAACACAACCCCCGCGCCAAAUGGAAUUUUUCUUAUUAAACAACAACAUUUCUUAAAAUUGGUAAACCAACGCAUCUGACCCAAAAAGAUCAACGAACCAAGUUACCCUGGGGAUAACAGCGCCAUCCAUCUUAAGAGUCCUUAUCGACAGAUGGGCUUACGACCUCGAUGUUGGAUCAGGGUACCCCAGUGGUGCAUCCGCUACUAAAGGUUCGUUUGUUCAACGAUUAAAACCCUACGUGAUCUGAUUCAAACCGGAUCAAACCGGA
rnacentral:rRNA from 1 species